rnacentral:other from 1 species
UGCAAACUUUAUCAGUAAGAAGCUUUGCUCGAAGAACCGAUGUUUAUGUAAUUAGGGAACCUAAUUCAUUUGUGGUGAGCAAGCCCUCCUUUUCUUCUUUUUGUAAGAAAAAUCAGUAGAGGGAAGCCUAAAGCAAAUAUGUGGUGCCCACUUGAAAAAGUGGGUUCUUGCAAGAAGCUAAGCCGAAGACUGAGUAAAGUUUGCAC